UACGUAGGUGGCGAGCGUUAUCCGGAAUUAUUGGGCGUAAAGAGCGCGCAGGUGGUUGAUUAAGUCUGAUGUGAAAGCCCACGGCUUAACCGUGGAGGGUCAUUGGAAACUGGUCGACUUGAGUGCAGAAGAGGGAAGUGGAAUUCCAUGUGUAGCGGUGAAAUGCGUAGAGAUAUGGAGGAACACCAGUGGCGAAGGCGGCUUCCUGGUCUGUAACUGACACUGAGGCGCGAAAGCGUUGGGAGCAAACAGGAUUAGAUACCCU
rnacentral:rRNA from 1 species